UGACCUGGUCUGGUGUCAAGAGGAGCAUAAGAACCAGGGAUACUACGACUACGUAAAGCCCCGCAUGCGCACCACCAUCGACCGUGCCAAGCCUGUCUGGUAUGCCGGCCGUGAGCCUGCCGCCGCCCCGGCCACAGGAAA